rnacentral:rRNA from 1 species
GGGUUGUGAGGUUAAGCGACUAAGCGUACACGGUGGAUGCCCUGGCAGUCAGAGGCGAUGAAGGACGUGCUAAUCUGCGAUAAGCGUCGGUAAGGUGAUAUGAACCGUUAUAACCGGCGAUUUCCGAAUGGGGAAACCCAGUGUGUUUCGACACACUAUCAUUAACUGAAUCCAUAGGUUAAUGAGGCGAACCGGGGGAACUGAAACAUCUAAGUACCCCGAGGAAAAGAAAUCAACCGAGAUUCCCCCAGUAGCGGCGAGCGAACGGGGAGGAGCCCAGAGCCUGAAUCAGUGUGUGUGUUAGUGGAAGCGUCUGGAAAGGCGCGCGAUACAGGGUGACAGCCCCGUACACAAAAAUGCACAUACUGUGAGCUCGAUGAGUAGGGCGGGACACGUGGUAUCCUGUCUGAAUAUGGGGGGACCAUCCUCCAAGGCUAAAUACUCCUGACUGACCGAUAGUGAACCAGUACCGUGAGGGAAAGGCGAAAAGAACCCCGGCGAGGGGAGUGAAAAAGAACCUGAAACCGUGUACGUACAAGCAGUGGGAGCCUCUUUUAUGGGGUGACUGCGUACCUUUUGUAUAAUGGGUCAGCGACUUAUAUUCUGUAGCAAGGUUAACCGAAUAGGGGAGCCGAAGGGAAACCGAGUCUUAACUGGGCGUUAAGUUGCAGGGUAUAGACCCGAAACCCGGUGAUCUAGCCAUGGGCAGGUUGAAGGUUGGGUAACACUAACUGGAGGACCGAACCGACUAAUGUUGAAAAAUUAGCGGAUGACUUGUGGCUGGGGGUGAAAGGCCAAUCAAACCGGGAGAUAGCUGGUUCUCCCCGAAAGCUAUUUAGGUAGCGCCUCGUGAAUUCAUCUCCGGGGGUAGAGCACUGUUUCGGCAAGGGGGUCAUCCCGACUUACCAACCCGAUGCAAACUGCGAAUACCGGAGAAUGUUAUCACGGGAGACACACGGCGGGUGCUAACGUCCGUCGUGAAGAGGGAAACAACCCAGACCGCCAGCUAAGGUCCCAAAGUCAUGGUUAAGUGGGAAACGAUGUGGGAAGGCCCAGACAGCCAGGAUGUUGGCUUAGAAGCAGCCAUCAUUUAAAGAAAGCGUAAUAGCUCACUGGUCGAGUCGGCCUGCGCGGAAGAUGUAACGGGGCUAAACCAUGCACCGAAGCUGCGGCAGCGACGCUUAUGCGUUGUUGGGUAGGGGAGCGUUCUGUAAGCCUGUGAAGGUGUGCUGUGAGGCAUGCUGGAGGUAUCAGAAGUGCGAAUGCUGACAUAAGUAACGAUAAAGCGGGUGAAAAGCCCGCUCGCCGGAAGACCAAGGGUUCCUGUCCAACGUUAAUCGGGGCAGGGUGAGUCGACCCCUAAGGCGAGGCCGAAAGGCGUAGUCGAUGGGAAACAGGUUAAUAUUCCUGUACUUGGUGUUACUGCGAAGGGGGGACGGAGAAGGCUAUGUUGGCCGGGCGACGGUUGUCCCGGUUUAAGCGUGUAGGCUGGUUUUCCAGGCAAAUCCGGAAAAUCAAGGCUGAGGCGUGAUGACGAGGCACUACGGUGCUGAAGCAACAAAUGCCCUGCUUCCAGGAAAAGCCUCUAAGCAUCAGGUAACAUCAAAUCGUACCCCAAACCGACACAGGUGGUCAGGUAGAGAAUACCAAGGCGCUUGAGAGAACUCGGGUGAAGGAACUAGGCAAAAUGGUGCCGUAACUUCGGGAGAAGGCACGCUGAUAUGUAGGUGAAGCGACUUGCUCGUGGAGCUGAAAUCAGUCGAAGAUACCAGCUGGCUGCAACUGUUUAUUAAAAACACAGCACUGUGCAAACACGAAAGUGGACGUAUACGGUGUGACGCCUGCCCGGUGCCGGAAGGUUAAUUGAUGGGGUUAGCGGUAACGCGAAGCUCUUGAUCGAAGCCCCGGUAAACGGCGGCCGUAACUAUAACGGUCCUAAGGUAGCGAAAUUCCUUGUCGGGUAAGUUCCGACCUGCACGAAUGGCGUAAUGAUGGCCAGGCUGUCUCCACCCGAGACUCAGUGAAAUUGAACUCGCUGUGAAGAUGCAGUGUACCCGCGGCAAGACGGAAAGACCCCGUGAACCUUUACUAUAGCUUGACACUGAACAUUGAGCCUUGAUGUGUAGGAUAGGUGGGAGGCUUUGAAGUGUGGACGCCAGUCUGCAUGGAGCCGGCCUUGAAAUACCACCCUUUAAUGUUUGAUGUUCUAACGUUGGCCCCUGAUCGGGGUUGCGGACAGUGUCUGGUGGGUAGUUUGACUGGGGCGGUCUCCUCCUAAAGAGUAACGGAGGAGCACGAAGGUUGGCUAAUCCUGGUCGGACAUCAGGAGGUUAGUGCAAUGGCAUAAGCCAGCUUGACUGCGAGCGUGACGGCGCGAGCAGGUGCGAAAGCAGGUCAUAGUGAUCCGGUGGUUCUGAAUGGAAGGGCCAUCGCUCAACGGAUAAAAGGUACUCCGGGGAUAACAGGCUGAUACCGCCCAAGAGUUCAUAUCGACGGCGGUGUUUGGCACCUCGAUGUCGGCUCAUCACAUCCUGGGGCUGAAGUAGGUCCCAAGGGUAUGGCUGUUCGCCAUUUAAAGUGGUACGCGAGCUGGGUUUAGAACGUCGUGAGACAGUUCGGUCCCUAUCUGCCGUGGGCGCUGGAGAACUGAGGGGGGCUGCUCCUAGUACGAGAGGACCGGAGUGGACGCAUCACUGGUGUUCGGGUUGUCAUGCCAAUGGCACUGCCCGGUAGCUAAAUGCGGAAGAGAUAAGUGCUGAAAGCAUCUAAGCACGAAACUUGCCCCGAGAUGAGUUCUCCCUGAGACUU